rnacentral:rRNA from 1 species
ACGGGAGGCAGCAGUGGGGGAUAUUGCACAAUGGGGGAAACCCUGAUGCAGCGACGCCGCGUGAGUGAAGAAGUAUUUCGGUAUGUAAAGCUCUUUAAGCUGGAAAGAUAAUGACGGUACCAGCAGAAUAAGCCCCGGCUAACUACGUGCCAGCAGCCGCGGUAAUACGUAGGGGGCAAGCGUUAUCCGGAUUUACUGGGUGUAAAGGGAGCGUAGACGGUAUGGCAAGUCUGAAGUGAAAUGCCAGGGCUUAACCCUGGAACUGCUUUGGAAACUGUCGUACUAGAGUGCAGGAGAGGUAAGUGGAAUUCCUAGUGUAGCGGUGAAAUGCGUAGAUAUUAGGAGGAACACCAGUGGCGAAGGCGGCUUACUGGACUGUAACUGACGUUGAGGCUCGAAAGCGUGGGGAGCAAACAGGAUUAGAUACCCUGGUA